CGUUUGGGUCUUACGCAACAGGAAUUCAUGAACCGUGUCAGGGCAGGAAUGCAGCAGCACUAAGUGGAACCUCCUGUGUGCCGUGAGGCAGCCUGGACUGAGU
rnacentral:SRP_RNA from 1 species